UACGAAGGGGGCUAGCGUUGCUCGGAAUCACUGGGCGUAAAGGGUGCGUAGGCGGGUCUUUAAGUCAGGGGUGAAAUCCUGGAGCUCAACUCCAGAACUGCCUUUGAUACUGAAGAUCUUGAGUUCGGGAGAGGUGAGUGGAACUGCGAGUGUAGAGGUGAAAUUCGUAGAUACUCGCAAGAACACCAGUGGCGAAGGCGGCUCACUGGCCCGAUACUGACGCUGAGGCACGAAAGCGUGGGGAGCAAACAGG
rnacentral:rRNA from 1 species